UGCUCUUCUGAUCAAAAUAAGCCAGCACGCCAAGUACACUUGCUCCUUCUGUGGCAAAACCAAGAUGAAAAGACGAGCUCUGGGGAUCUGGCGUUGUGGUUCCUGCAUGAAAACCGUAGCAGGUGGUACCUGGACCUCCAACACCACUUCUACUGUCACAGUAAAGCGGGCUAUCAGGAGACUGAAGGAGUUGAAGGACCAGUAGAAGCUCCACCAUUUGAAACAUUGCUUACUUAUAAUAAAUGGGUUAAUUGAUAUAACAA